rnacentral:misc_RNA from 1 species
AUUUUUAAAGUACCUGUUUCCCAAUCAUCCCUAUGUCCUUGAUACGUAAUCGAACUUUUAACAACGUAAAAACUCAAGUUAUCUAACGCCUUGUAUACGUUUGUUACACUUAUACGCCGGGAGUUCGCAAUAACCGUGUAAGGUGAAGUGAAAUAAGAGUGACUAUUCGAAGUAAUGUUGUGUCGAGCUGAUAUAUAACGAGGGAUUUGAUUCAAACACCUCGAAGAUUGAUAACAAAGUUCGUUGGAAAAUUCGAGAUUCUCGUUUCUACAGAUUAAAACAAUUUCCAUCUCGGAAUCAACGGGCAACGAGAACCGGGAUCUCGUUGCCUCGGCCGCCCAGGUCUCCGUGGAUCCGGAAAUCCCGACUUUAAAAGUACGUCGUCCUCAGAUUGGCAUGGGCAGCACAGAUUCCGGUGGAAACACCGCUGCCGGUCAAUCUUGUGGGCGGAGGCAUUCGCUAGGCGUCUUCACCACAGACUGACCACCCUGGGCGGAGACGAGGAUGAGCAAAAACUUCGCGGAGAUCAAACGCCGUCGGAAACGUCGUGGCUGCACUCUGGCGCGCCCACGGCAUCCCACAAUCAGGUCCUCGAACGGCAGCCCAGGCACAAUUCAGACUCCGACCUCUACUUCGACUUCGACAUCGACGAUGAUGACGUCCCUGGGUCCCCCGCGGAGGAGAUAUCGGUCGCCGAAUUGGCCGGACUUUUAUUGAACGGACCUCACAGAUCGGACGAUUGUCACUGUCCUUUGACCGCAAAGCCCAUCCCUUACAAUCAGGGACCGGAAUCAGGGUGCGUCUUUUCGUCGCCGGUGACGGGAACGUCACCCGAGAGCGAUUCCUCGGACGUUUAUUACGACCCGGAGAGUUCGGAGGCCGACAAGGUGACGGACUCUUUCUACGAUCUGGAUACAUCGGAAAGCGACGGCUCCAGUCUGAGCAACGGACUC